UACCCGGUGUUUUUCAACACCACCUCACUGAACAUGGAAUCAGAAU
rfam:Gonium pectorale scaffold00010, whole genome shotgun sequence.